CCUGGCGCUGAAGCUCCAGGCUAUUUUCAGUCGUCCCUAAUGGGACU
rnacentral:sRNA from 1 species